UCUGCGGAGGCAAUAGGGUAACGGAAUGUGCAUCAUUCACUGUCAGACAGACUUUAUUGCUCUUUUUCAGCUUCUUCGGCAGCGCAUUGGUGGACUUAGGGUUUUUCGGCCAAGCAUUUUUAGUUGUUUUCUUCAUUUCAGCAGCCGUUUUUUCUAUUUUCGCUGUAUCUCGUUGAGAAACUAACGGUCGGACUCUCAGAAAUACCUUGAGAUUCUCUGAGGAUGAUGGAUGCUCCGUAAGAAGUUGUUUUUCAGGGACCACAGACUUCAUUGCUCUUUUUGAGCUUCUUCGGCAACGCCUUGGUGGACUUAGGGUUUUUAGGCCAAGCAUUUUUAGUUGUUUUCUUCAUUUCAGCAGCCGUUUUUUCUAUUUUCGCUGUUUCUCGUUGAGAAAUUAACGGUCGGACUCUCAGAAAUACCUUGAGAUUCUCUGGUGAUGAUGGAUGCUCC
rnacentral:lncRNA from 1 species